rnacentral:rRNA from 1 species
UACGUAGGGGGGCUAGCGUUGUCCGGAAUCAUUGGGCGUAAAGCGCGUGUAGGCGGUCCGGUAAGUCCGCUGUGAAAGUCGGGGGCUCAACCCUCGGAUGCCGGUGGAUACUGUCGGGCUUGAGUACGGAAGAGGCGAGUGGAAUUCCUGGUGUAGCGGCGAAAUGCGCAGAUAUCAGGAGGAACACCAAUUGCGAAGGCAGCUCGCUGGGACGUUACUGACGCUGAGACGCGAAAGCGUGGGGAGCAAACAGG